rnacentral:rRNA from 1 species
AUUGAACGCUGGCGGCAGGCCUAACACAUGCAAGUCGAACGAGUGGUGGACGGGUGAGCAAUGUCUGGGAAACUGCCUGAUGGAGGGGGAUCACUUCUGGAAACGGUAGCUAAUACCGCAUACCAUCCGAUUUGCUCAUUUGGGAUUAGCUAGUUGGUGGGGUAACGGCGCACCAAGGCGACGGUCCCUAGCUGGUAUGAGAGGAUGACCAGCCACACUGGAACUGGGACACGGUACAGACGCCUACGGGAGGCAGCAGUGGGGAAUAUUGCACAAUGAGCGGAAGCCUGAUGCAGCCAUGCCGCGUGUAUGAAGAAGGCCUUCGGGUUGUAAAGUACUUUCAGCGGGGAGGCGGUACCCGCAGAAGAAGCGCCGGCUAACUACGUGCCAGCAGCCGCGGUAAUUC